rnacentral:rRNA from 1 species
AUUGAACGCUGGCGGCAGGCCUAACACAUGCAAGUCGAGCGGAGCGGCGGGCGGGUGAGGAAUGCCUAGGAAUCUGCCUGGGAGUGGGGGAUAAGGUCCGGAAACGGGCGCGAAUACCGCAUACUAUUAGAUGAGGCUAGGUGGGAUUAGCUAGUUGGUGUGGUAAAGGCCUACCAAGGCGACGAUCCGUAACUGGUCUGGGGGGAUGAUCAGUCACACUGGAACUGAGACACGGUCCAGACUCCUACGGGAGGCAGCAGUGGGGAAUAUUGGACAAUGGGCGCAAGCCUGAUCCAGCCAUGCCGCGUGUGUGAAGAAGGUCUUCGGCUUGUAAAGCACUUUAAGUUGGGAGGCGUUACCCACAGAAUAAGCACCGGCUAACUUCGUGCCAGCCGCCGCGGUAAUUC